AUUGAACGCUGGCGGCAGGCCUAACACAUGCAAGUCGAGCGAGAGGCGGACGGGUGAGUAAUGUCUGGGAAACUGCCUGAGGGAGGGGGAUAACUACUGGAAACGGUAGAUCAUACAGCAUACCAUCAGAGAUGCCCAGAUGGGAUUAGCUAGGAGGUGGGGUAACGGCUCACCUAGGCGACGAUCCCUAGCUGGUCUGAGAGGAUGACCAGCCACACUGGAACUUGGACACGGUCCAAACUCCUACGGGAGGCAGCAGUGGGGAAUAUUGCACAAUGGGCGCAAGCCUGAUGCAGCCAUGCCGCGUGUGUGAAGAAGGCCUUCGGGUUGUAAAGCACUUUCAGCGGGGAGGCGUUACCCGCAGAAGAAGCACCGGCUAACUCCGUGCCAGCAGCCGCGGUAAUUC
rnacentral:rRNA from 1 species